GGAUCGAAUAUGAUUAGAUACCAUCGUACUCUUAACCAUAAACUAUGCCGACUAGGGAUUGGUGGACGUAUGUUACGACUCCAUCAGCACCUUAUGAGAAAUCAAAGUCUUUGGGUUCCGGGGGGAGUAUGGUCGCAAGGCUGAAACUUAAAGAAAUUGACGGAAGGGCACCACCAGGAGUGGAGCCUGUGGCUUAAUUUGACUCAACAUGGGAAAACUUACC
rnacentral:rRNA from 1 species